CGGAUGUAGCCAAGUGGAUCAAGGCANU
rnacentral:tRNA from 1 species